GGAACCCAGGUCAUCUCACUAACAAAGCAAGUGUCCUACUGACUGAGUCACCGUACUACUUACACAUCUCCUCAACACCAGAAUAGGAUUGUGCUGAUGUCUUGUGUGUGAUGGACUUUAUGGAGAGAUGGUGGCAAGCACUGUAGUAAGGGGAAUGAGGAGGAUGUGUUUUUCUGGAGUGAUCAAGUCUAUCAGCUGGAUGGACAUUGGAUUCAAGACAUAUGCCAGCAACAAUUAGCAGAGAUUGGUGCAUCAAGCUUUGACCACUGCCAGGCAGCUGCUGUUGAACCAGAAAGGUACCGGAAUGUCCAGGCCACAAGGCAGCCUCUUCAAUCUGAAAAAGUGCAUUUGAUAAGCAGUAUCGAGAUCUGGUUAAAAUUCUGUUGGCAUUUGAUGUGAUGACAAAGGUGAAGGCAAACAAUGUGCAUAGCAUCUGGAUAUGCUGGAAAGAGACAUGAUUAACAUGGAAAGCCUACUUGUCUGCUGGACUAUGACCAGAGUAAAGUUGUCUUCAAGAGAAGAUUUCCUACUGAACCAUUUCUGUCGGCGCCAUUUACCUGGAGAGGUCAAAUCCAACAAAAGAACACUUACAAUUCUUUCUGUUAUCAGUUGGAGGGCACACUUCUGCUUCCAGCCAUGCCAGUGAGAAAGGUCAACAAGUCCUGCCAGAUGUUCCAACAGAAAUACAUGACGUCUUUGGACUUUAAUGUUUUACGCAGACUUUCUACAGCAUAUUCUUGCAAUCCACUUGUGCUAGAAUGUAGAGAAACUCAUCCUGAAGGCUAACUAUGAACAGUUUGAGGGAAAUACCAGCUUGCUCCAUCCUGACAGAUCCACAUAUCAAUAGGGAAUGCAUCGAGCCGAAACAAUGUCAUCAAACUUUAAACACCUUUCAUAAACUACAGUGUAUAUGGUGAUCUGCACAUCAUCAUUAUACACACUCUAGAGACUUUACAGGAAUUUGUUUAUCAUUAAAGUCAAACAUCAAGGAAAGAUUUGGAGUUUGAAUAGUCUCCUAAGUGCCUGGUAAAUUGUAUUGUAUUAUAUCUAAUGCAAUGAUGAAUGACUGGGAAAUAUGUGGUCUAAAUAUUUGCAAAUAACCCUUUGUUCAAAGUGUUGUAAUUGAUGGCUAUUGCAUUUAAACAUUUAACUCCUGGGGGAAGGUCCUUGUAAUUAUCCCCCCAACAGAAGUAAAUUGACACUUUUGGUGUCCAAAUUAGCGAAAAAGACACUGCCAUAUACUAUUAAAGUAAUUGCAGUUGCCCUGUAGUUUAUAUGUUUUAUUGGACUAGCCAUUUGAAGUCCUGUAUUUGAAAAAAACAGCAAAAGAAACAUUUCUAAAUAUUAAGAAGGCAAAGACUAUGUUAACACUGUAAAUGUUCAGGUGAUGAAUUCCAAUAUUUGUUGCAAUCUUUUUGUUUUGAUAAUGUGAGGACUGGUAACAAUGUAUUACUACAGAAAUCCAAACUCUGUUAAGUUUAAAGAUGAUUACAUCAAAAGAACGAUUGAAAUAGUCAGGAAUUGCCCAUUUCUGUCAAGGGCAUUCAUUGUCCUAUGAAAUGUAAUUAAAGACAGGGCCUACAAUAAAAAGUUAAGGAAAUAUAUGGCAAGAUAACUCAAAUGUAACAGUACUUACACAUACACGUUCACCUUAAAGCUGCACUCUCACAGAUUGAACAUUUUGACCAAAAACAAUUUUUCUCUUGGAACGAGCCAAUUUUUGCGAAA